UGUUGGAUGUCAGUAAUAAGUGAUCUGGGGUAAUACUAAAUAUUAAAGGAGAACAUGCAUGAUGGUAAGACUGACCUGAGGGAAUGCUUGCAGCAAAUGGCGAGGUACACCAGUUACCAGCAGAUCCAAAGCAAUUCCUCAUUACUCUGGCGGCAUUGUGAUUGGGGAGAGGCACUUGUGGCAGCCACGUUUGUUGAUGAAUGUUGAGUAGUUGUAGAAAUGACAGAUGGCAUGGUGCAGUGAACAGGGAAAGGAAACAGCAGAAAGACUCAGCAGGAAAAUAGGUUGAAUACCCCAAGUAUAUGCAUUAUUAUAUAUCCCCACCUUUAUCACCACAUUUUAAUGUCUGUUUUGUCCUGUUUGUGUGAGAAGACUUUUUCCUGAGCAGCAACAUCUUGAACUCAAUCUUAACCACUUUGCCCCAAGGCUUUCUUGCUCUCCCUCCUCCACAGGCUCUAUUGAAAUCAAGUUCACUUUUAUAUUUCUCUCAAAAUAUCAAAAUUUGACAUGAAAUGCAACUUGACAUUUUUCAUUUUCAUUUUAAAACUGGCUACAUAAAUUGGCUUACAUUCAUUUUCUGUUUAUUGACAAAUCAAAUGAGUAAUUUAUCACUUUUCUUUGGUUGAAACACUCUUUUGACAGCCUUUAACAGUGGACUGAUGGGAAAGAUUUAGUAAACAAGAAGGGAUCAAGAUGUUUGCUAUAUAUACCUAAAACCACGCUAAUAGCUUAAGAGUGAAAUUUAGGAUUUCUCCAUUUUCUGUGAAUCGAUUUUGAUAAAAGUUUUCCCUGAUGGUUUGCACACUAUUGCAACACUAUUGUUAUUUUUUUCAUUAUUCUGUGUAGCGUCCUUUCUUUUUUUAUUUCCGAUUCUUCAGUUUUGGGGUGAACCACACUAAUAGCUUUUGAAUGAAAAUAGCCCAUCUAGACAUUUUUUCUUUCAGAAAAUGAAGGGU